rnacentral:misc_RNA from 1 species
CGAAUGUGUUUAUUUAAUUCAUCCGUCUUCUCUUCCCGCUUGGAGCCGCGAUGCUCACCGCUGCCAUUGAGGGAAAGGAGAAGGGUCCGAGUUUGCCUGACGAUCUCAGCGGGAGAUUUGGGUUUGGACUUGAAGAGGGAUUUCAUUUGUGAGUGUUGGAUGUAGGGUUGUGAAAGUGUGGGAUUGAACUCGAGGGAGAGAAGAGAAGAGGUGUUUGNNNNNNAAAUUGCCAUGUAUACGUAAUUAUCUGAAUAAAGCAAAGUCUAACGCCUCAACUAUCUUUU